AUGCCUUACUUCCAUCCAUUCAUG
rnacentral:siRNA from 1 species